rnacentral:lncRNA from 1 species
GAAGGCUAAGCUACUGAAGUUUUCAGCAAAAACGUUUAAUUUGCAUUGGUACAGAUAGUUUCCAGGAGAAAUCACUGGCUUCGAAAGAAAACUCCCUGUUAUUAAUAAGGUUAACUACAUUCUUAAUAGAAAUAGAUUGAGAUCUAGAGAAAGUCGAACCAAGCUGAUCAGACCACUGUCCAUGCGCCAGAGGCAAAGAUAAAAUCAAGCUCAUCAUGUGAGCAUUAAAAAUCCGAGAUAAUUGUAUAGAAUCCAAGCUAUUAUCUUCGGUAAUAAAAUCAGCCACCCGAAAUUGACCAAGAUCAAAGGAAGCAUCUGUAAUGAAGGUCAAUGACUCAAGGGAAGAUUAGUGAUCCAAGG